GUAACGCGUAUGCAACCUACCUGUAACAGGGGGAUAACACUGAGAAAUCGGUACUAAUACCGCAUAACACUAUGAGAGGCAUCUCUUGUGGUUGAAAGUUUCGGCGGUUACAGAUGGGCAUGCGUUGUAUUACCUGGUUGGUAAGGUAACGGCUUACCAAGGCGACGAUACAUAGGGGGACUGAGAGGUUAACCCCCCACAUUGGUACUGAGACACGGACCAAACUCCUACGGGAGGCAGCAGUGAGGAAUAUUGGUCAAUGGACGGAAGUCUGAACCAGCCAUGCCGCGUGCGGGAAGACGGCUCUAUGAGUUGUAAACUGCUUUUGUACAAGGGUAAACCUGAAUACAUGUAUUCAGCUGAAAGUACUGCACGAAUAAGGAUCGGCUAACUCCGUGCCAGCAGCCGCGGUAAUACGGAGGAUCCAAGCGUUAUCCGGAUUUAUUGGGUUUAAAGGGUGCGUAGGCGGAUUGAUAAGUUAGAGGUGAAAUGUCCGAGCUUAACUCGGGAACUGCCUCUAAUACUGUUGAUCUAGAGAGUAGAUGCGGUAGGCGGAAUGUAUGGUGUAGCGGUGAAAUGCUUAGAGAUCAUACAGAACACCGAUUGCGAAGGCAGCUUACCAAUCUAUAUCUGACGUUGAGGCACGAAAGCGUGGGGAGCAAACA
rnacentral:rRNA from 1 species